rnacentral:lncRNA from 1 species
UUUUUUCUAUCAAUAAAUCUCAGCAUCUUGCCUUUUGGGUUACAAACAGCUUGGGACAAUCUAAGAAGGGAAUUGCAUAUCUCAAAAUACCAAGCAAUGAAUAAUUCUCUAUUCAACUCUCUUUGCCUAGAGCUCAGUAGUGAAAGCACAAAGCCUAAUGGCAAAAGGAUAUUUUUAAAAUAAAUAACUUAUAUUACAUUUUUUCAUAUUAUAAAAGUAUCAUUUGCACCAAGGAUAGGUGGAAAAUAUAUUUCCAAAGGGAAGUCUAUUAAAACAACCCAUAAUUUACUACUUAGCAACUAUUACCAUUUGUUUAAUAUUAUUUAUCAAUGGAGAUAAUAAUAUUGAAAUCCUCAACUAACUGGAAUGCUCAGAGGAGAAGUUAUAGUUGUGGUGAGUUAAAAAGUUUUCUCAAAUGUCAUAACAUAUGUGUUGACUUUGAAACCAGAAAAAGGAUAAAAAAGAGUAAUAUGUUUAUCUAGGUCAAUAAUUCAGGAAUAAUGAAUUAGUGAAAUCUAGAAUCUAAUUUAUGACUCAGGAACUUACAAUACUUCUGGAUCAUCAGGGUGAAAAUCAAUUUUUAUGCAAGGGCUGAAGUCAUAAAGGAAUAGAACAGGGCUUGAAUAUGCAAAUGCUCACACAGUGACUGAUAUAAAACAUAUUGGUAAUAUUUAAAAGCAGGUACAAAUAUCCUUUCUAUAAAAGACAACCAACAGGCACUAGUCAGCUCUGGUUAAUUGCCACCAGGCAAUAAAACAGCCUAGGGUUACCACAUUCUCCUAAUUGUUGUUACUGUUGUUUCUUAAAGAGGAGCCCGAAAUCUGUGUCGUUACGUGAAAUUUCUACAUUUUAAAUUUUUCAAGUAAACAGAAAUGUUUAAAAUAUGUAGGCCAAUCUACAUGACUAUGAGCCUAAUUUGGCCUGUUGGUUACCAGUUUCCAGCCCUGAUUAUCAGAGACUGGGAUAAACCUGGGCAGAACCUAGAUCAUAUUGUCUUAUUUGUAGAAGAAUUCUGGACAGAUAGUAAGCUUCCAUAAAGAGAAUUUAAUAUUUAGCCGGCUGUGGUGACGCCUGUGGUCCCAGCUACUCAGAAGGCUAAGGCACGAGAAUCGCCUGAACCAGGAGGCAGAGGUUGCAGGGAGCCACUGAACUCUAGCCUGGGUGACAGACUGAGAACAUAUCUCAGGAGAAAAAGAAAAAUUUAAUAUUGACAGAGACUUAGGAGUUCAGCAACUGGUAGGCAGAUUAAUGCUAACCCUCCACAUGUGCGUGUCCUAAUCCCCAGAACCUAUGAAUAUGUUACCUUACAUGGCAAAAGGGAUUUUUCAGAUGUGAUUAAAGUUAAAGCCUUGAGAUGGGAAGAUUAUCCUGGAUCAUCCUGGUGAGCCCAAUAUAAACACAUGAAUUCUUAAAAAAUAGAAGAGGAAGGCAGAAGAGUAGGUCAGGGAAAUGUGAGAAGAACUUGUCCC